ACGCUCGACACCUACGGGAGGCAGCAGUGAGGAAUAUUGGUCAAUGGACGCAAGUCUGAACCAGCCAUGCCGCGUGCAGGAUGACGGCUCUAUGAGUUGUAAACUGCUUUUGUACGAGGGUAAACGCAGAUACGUGUAUCUGUCUGAAAGUNUCGUACGAAUAAGGAUCGGCUAACUCCGUGCCAACAGCCGCGGUAAUCUGAGGCCGGGCUGGCAAGGC
rnacentral:rRNA from 1 species